UACGUAGGGUGCGAGCGUUACUCGGAAUUACUGGGCGUAAAGCGUGCGCAGGCGGUUCGUUAAGUCAGAUGUGAAAGCCCCGGGCUCAACCUGGGAACUGCAUUUGAAACUGGCGGGCUUGAGUGUGGCAGAGGGGGGUGGAAUUCCGCGUGUAGCAGUGAAAUGCGUAGAGAUGCGGAGGAACACCGAUGGCGAAGGCAGCCCCCUGGGCCAACACUGACGCUCAGGCACGAAAGCGUGGGGAGCAAACAGG
rnacentral:rRNA from 1 species